rnacentral:rRNA from 1 species
GAACGCGAAGAACCUUACCCGGGCUUGAACUAAGAGUGACAGAUUUAGAGAUAGAUCUUUCUUCGGACACUCUUGGAGGUGCUGCAUGGUUGUCGUCAGCUCGUGCCGUGAGGUGUCGGCUUAAGUGCCAUAACGAGCGCAACCCUUUUCCUUGGUUGCCAUCAGGUAAUGCUGGGCACUCCAGGGAUACUGCCAUCGUAAGAUGUGAGGAAGGUGGGGAUGACGUCAAAUCAGCACGGCCCUUACGUCCGGGGCUACACACGUGUUACAAUGGGGGGUACAGAAGGUCGCUACCUGGUGACAGGAUGCAAAUCUUAAAAACCUCUCUCAGUUCGGAUUGGAGUCUGCAACCCGACUCCAUGAAGCUGGAUUCGCUAGUAAUCGCGCAUCAGCCAUGGCGCGGUGAAUACGUUCCCGGGUCUUGUACACACC